rnacentral:rRNA from 1 species
UACGUAGGGACCGAGCGUUGUCCGGAUUCAUUGGGCGUAAAGAGCUCGUAGGCGGCUGCUCAAGUCGAAUGUGAAACCUCGAGGCUUAACCUCGAGCCUGCAUUCGAUACUGGGCGGCUAGAGUCUGGUAGGGGGAUCUGGAAUUCCUGGUGUAGCGGUGGAAUGCGCAGAGAUCGGAAAGAACACCAACGGCGAAAGCACUCUGCUGGGCCGACACUGACACUGAGAGACGAAAGCUAGGGGAGCGAAUGGG